rnacentral:lncRNA from 1 species
GUUAUCUUCACCACGAGCCCUAGUUUCAUCACCAUUUUACAGAUGAAGAAACAGGCAAGGAGCUGGUAAGAUAAUUUCAGAUCGUGACAUUAUGGAGAUAGGACAGAGCGAUAUGAUCAGGGAGGGGAGGGCGAGGUUAAUUCAGAGUGUGGGGCCAGGGAAGCUCUCUCUGUGGAAGAGACAUUUGAGCUGAAAUGUGAAUGACAAGAAGAAAGCAAUCACGCAUGGAGUGCGGUGGGGGGAGCUUUCCAGGCAGAGGAAAGAGUAAGUGCAAAGGUCCUGAGGAAGAUUAGCCCUGAGCUAACAUCUGCUGUCAAUCCUCCUCUUUUUGCUGAGGAAGACUGGCCCUCAGCUGACAUCCAUGCCCAUCUUCCUCCACUUUAUACGUGGGACGCCUGCCACAGCAUGGCUUGCCAAGCGGUGCCACGUCCGCACCCGGGAUCUGAACUGGCGAAUCCCGGGCCGCCGAAGCAGAACGUGCAAACCUAACCACUGCACCACCAGGCCGGCCCCAGACAAGUGCUUUUGCAGGGAGAUGUCAAGGCCUGGAAGACAAGAGUGGAGAGAGGGCGGCUCCACCAGGAGGGAGGGGACAGGACCCACGGUCUCCCUUCAUCUCUUCUCUGCCUCUAGGUUUCCUGCUCCAGGCCACUUUUCUCUCUCAUCUCUGUCUGUCCGUAUGUCUCUGUAUGGAAACUGGGCCCUUGAUCCAUCACUUAUGAGCUCUGUCACCCUGAGCAAGUUACUCCCCCUCUCUGAGCCUCCGUUUCUUCUUCUGGAAAAUGGGGAUGAGGAUACCUCUGCUGCAGGUCUUUUAGGAGGAUUAAGUGAGAUGCAGACACAUAAAAUGCCCGAGAUAUGGGACCUAUUAUUGUUAUUCUCAUUAUUACUGUACUAUUACUUCUGAUCUUGGACUCCGUUUUUCUCGGAGCCUCUGUUUUCCUCUUUCUGACUCUUCCUUUCUUUGUGUUUCUCUUUCUGCCUCUCCUUCUGUCCAUCUAGCUCCCUAUUUGGGUCUAUGCCUGGGCUGGGAGCCCCAUGAGGGCCGGGCAAGGGCCAGCCACAUCCCCAGCAUUGCCAAGUCCAGGGCCUGAUACAUCACCAGUACCUAAUAAAAUAAGUUGAACCUUGCUCUGUGCCAAACCAGCGUUGGGUGAUGCUGGGACCCAGCAGUGACAGAGACAGCCCCAGCCCUGUCUUCACAGCGUUCACAGUCCAGGAGAGGAAAUCAUUGUUUGUUGAAUGAAUGAAUGAGCUAACUUUGAGGUGGGCUUGGAAGACUCGACAAAAAUUGGGUGGAGGCACUGGAGGUGGGGAAAACUGCCGGAACCAAGGUUGAGGGGCUGGGAAGAGUUUAAAGAGGUAGGAGGUCAUGGAGAGAAGGCAAGAGAGCUCAGCAGAGGCCUUGAAGGCCGUGGAGAGGAGCCUGAGCUUUCUCCUGAGGGCACUAGGGAGCCAUGGCAGGUUCCGAGCUGGGGAGGGACAGGGUCAGGUUUAUGCUUUAGUGUGACUGCUCUGGCUGCCUGGCUGCCCCAUUGUGUGGGCAGGUGAGUGGAAGAGAGAGGAGCGGGAUUGGGGCAGGAGACCUGGGAGAGAAGAGUCCUGGACCAGUGCAGGAGCUGGGGGAAGAGGAAAGAGGAGCCAGAUUCUAGAAACCUGGAGGAAAAUGCUCAGGCCCCCCUGCUGUCCUUGACGCCUGGAAAGGGGCUUCAGGACUCGACCACCACCACCAGGGGGCAGCCCGGGCUACAGGUUCGAGUCCUCUCAGGGCGGGGAGGUUUGCACUCCGAUUUGGAUGUGGGGGGAGGUUGCAGCUGUCUGUGGGGCUGCGACUCAGAGCCUCUAUGCUCUCCUGCCCCCCAUCCUGGCCUCUCGGGCCCCUGGAGCCCCCACCCCACCAGCAGGAGAUUAUGUCAACACAGCCCGCUGCUUCUGGCGCUGCUUCUGGCCAGGACAAUAUUUGCCCUUAGGAUCUGGG